AUCUGUGUUUUUAUGUGCCAGUGUGUGUAUCUGUGUGUCAGUGUGUAUCUGUGUGUGCGUAUGUAUCUGACAUACAGAUACGCACACUGGCACACAGAUACACACACUGACACACAGAUA